rnacentral:rRNA from 1 species
GACGAACGCUGGCGGCGCGCUUAACACAUGCAAGUCGAGCGAGAACCAGUCCUUCGGGACUGGGGACAGCGGCGAACGGGUGAGUAACACGUGGGUAAUCUGCCCUCGGCACCGGAAUAGCCCGGGGAAACCCGGAUUAAUGCCGGAUGGCCUCUCUGCCCCUCGGGGCGGCGAGAAAAGGUAGCUUCGGCCUCCGGCCGAGGAUGAGCCCGCGGCCGAUUAGCUUGUUGGUGGGGUAACGGCUCACCAAGGCGACGAUCGGUAGCUGGUCUGAGAGGACGAUCAGCCACACUGGGACUGAGACACGGCCCAGACUCCUACGGGAGGCAGCAGUGGGGAAUCUUGCGCAAUGGGCGAAAGCCUGACGCAGCGACGCCGCGUGCGGGAAGAAGGCCUUCGGGUUGUAAACCGCUUUCAGGAGGGACGAAGCCACUCGGGUUAAUAGCCUAGAGGGUGACGGUACCUCCAGAAGAAGCCCCGGCUAACUACGUGCCAGCAGCCGCCGUAAUAC